rnacentral:tRNA from 3 species
GCCAGUGUAGCUCAGUUGGUCAGAGCAGCUGAUUUGUAAUCAGCAGGUCGUGGGUUCGAAUCCCUCCACCGGCU